GACAAACGCUGGCGGCGUGCUUAACACAUGCAAGUCGAACGGAAAGGCCCCCAUCUUGGAGGGGGUGCUCGAGUGGCGAACGGGUGAGUAACACGUGGGUGAUCUGCCCUGUACUUCGGGGUAAGCUUGGGAAACUGGGUCUAAUACCGGAUAGGACCAUGGUUUAGUGUCUCAUGGUGGAAAGAUUAUUGUUUUGGUGCAGGAUGAGCUCGCGGCCUAUCAGCUUGUUGGUGGGGUAAUGGCCUACCAAGGCGUCGACGGGUAGCCGGCCUGAGAGGGUGGACGGCCACAUUGGGACUGAGAUACGGCCCAGACUCCUACGGGAGGCAGCAGUGGGGAAUAUUGCACAAUGGGCGCAAGCCUGAUGCAGCGACGCCGCGUGGGGGAUGACGGCCUUCGGGUUGUAAACUCCUUUCGUUAGGGACGAAGCCGCACUUUUUUGGGGUGUGGUGACGGUACCUUUGUGAAGAAGCACCGGCUAACUACGUG
rnacentral:rRNA from 1 species